rnacentral:lncRNA from 1 species
CGACACUCGCGGGCGGUGGGGGAGGAGCUGGGGGAGGGGCUCAGGUGGGGGCGGGGCGGGUUGCAGACUCUGGGGCCAGCAAGGUUGUGAACCCUAAGCGGCCGCGCGUCUCUAGCACCGGUGCUCCCGCCGCCGCCGUUAGUGUCUUCAGAGGGCCUGCCUAGGCCCGCCGGGAGCCCAGUUUGUUUUUUCUCGCCGUUUCCAUAGCAACUGCAGCCUCGCGCGGAGAGCUAGCCUGUGAACUAGGCUUGGAGCGCGCGCCUGGCUCCCUUGAGCUUCUCUGGCUGCCUCUAGCAUCGAAGUCAUGGAAGUAAGAGUGUUGGGAAUGAAGUUAUCUUGCCAGUGCUGUGCCAGGGUGGAGCUUGGACACCUGCACAUAGCUAGCCCGGCGUUGGGAUUGGUGACUCUGAUGGCCAGCUUUGCUGCUCUUUCUACGAUGGCUUUUCAGUUCUUAGAGGACACAUUGUGAGCAAUCUCAGCACCGUAAGAUUUGUUGCACAUCAGCAGCACUUCCAGCUCUUUGACAUUGUGGACCAGAAACUUCCGGAAGCCGCUAAGCAGAUAGGCAGAGCAUGUGCUUGGUUUUCUUGUUGCUCCGGUAACCAAUGAUAGGCAUCAGGAUCUGGCCCUUGAAUCUUCUCGGUACCCUGCCUCUGGGUUUUCACCUGUUUCCCUUAAUUUUCACAUAUCGGUCUGACUGGUGCCUAAUGAACUUCUUGGACCUCUUGUUGACGAUCUUGGGCUUCACCAGAGGCCUGAGGGCAAGUGAUACCGCAAAAUAGGUCCAGUGUAGCACUCUCUUCCUUCUGCCUGUUGAUCUGGAUGUAUAAUUCUCAGCCUCUUCUCCAGCAUCUGUCUGCUUGCAUGCUGGCUCCCCACCAUGACACUAUUUUCCAUUCUUUUCAACCAGCCAGCCUGAAAGACUGCUGCAAAACAAAGUGUUCCUUACCCCUUCUAGCUUAAAAUUCUGCUGCUGUUGCUGCUGCUGCUGCUGCUGCUGCUGCUGCUGCUGCUGCUGCUGCUGCUCAUGGUGGCACAUCCCUUUAACCCUGGCACUUAGGAGGCUGAGGCAGUGAAUUUCUGUGAGUUUGAGGCCCUGAUCUGCACUCGGAAGGUGCUUUUUUCUUUCCCUGGAGUGAAAUCAGGAAUCAUCAGCUUGGAAUGCCAUCCUGCUUCCCCUCCCUCUCGCCCCUCCACUGGCCUGCCCUACGCCUCUGCAACCCAAAGCUUGAAUCUCCACUUCCUUUAACAUCUCCAUCUCCAUUUAUCUGUCUCCAUCCAACCAAUGUGUCGAGCCUCUACUUAGAUAUCAUCGCCCCCGGAAAUAAUUUCUGUAUCACUCCCCAGAUCGGGAUGAAUACCCCCAAGUAUUAUAUAUGUCCCUCCGUUGUUUUACCAACUGUACCUGUGUCUUUGUAUGUAUAAUGUAUGUUAAUUAUGAACCCAUAUGUAAAGCUAUGUGUGUAAAUUUCCUGAGGGAAAAGAUUGUUCCUGUUUUAUUCAUCCUCUUUCCUGUGCCUAGCACAGUAAGUAAAAGUAAUUAUUUUGUGAGUGAAUAGAAAAUGUAUUCUAGAGCUGGAGAGAUGGCUCUGGAGAGAUGGCUCAGAGGUUAAGAGCACUGACUGCUCUUCCAGAGGUCCUGAGUUCAAAUCCCAGCAACCACAUGGUGGCUCACAACCAUCUGUAAUGGGAUCCGAUGGCCUCUUCUGGUGUGUCUGAGGACAGCAACAGUGUACUCAUAAAUAAAAAAAUCUUUAAAAAGAAAGAAAGAAAGAAAGAAAGAAAAGAAAAUAUAUUCUAAAAAUUAAGAAAAUGAGCUGUUAAAAACUGGAAAAUGUUCUUAUGCCACAAAUUAGUUUCAGGCAAAUAAGCAUUGAAUAAAGAAUUUUGGGGGGAUUUGGGAGGUUUGGGGAGUUGUUUUUGGUUUUGAGACAAGGUUUUACUAGUACUGGGUUUCUGUUUGUUCGUUUUGUUUAUGUUAAAUUAGUAG